rnacentral:rRNA from 1 species
UUAAUUGAAGAGUUUGAUCAUGGCUCAGAUUGAACGCUGGCGGCAGGCCUAACACAUGCAAGUCGAGCGGUAACAGAAAGAAAGCUUGCUUUCUUUGCUGACGAGCGGCGGACGGGUGAGUAAUGCCUGGGAAUAUACCCUGAUGUGGGGGAUAACUAUUGGAAACGAUAGCUAAUACCGCAUAAUCUCUUCGGAGCAAAGAGGGGGACCUUCGGGCCUCUCGCGUCAGGAUUAGCCCAGGUGGGAUUAGCUAGUUGGUGGGGUAAUGGCUCACCAAGGCAACGAUCCCUAGCUGGUCUGAGAGGAUGAUCAGCCACACUGGAACUGAGACACGGUCCAGACUCCUACGGGAGGCAGCAGUGGGGAAUAUUGCACAAUGGGGGAAACCCUGAUGCAGCCAUGCCGCGUGUAUGAAGAAGGCCUUCGGGUUGUAAAGUACUUUCAGUUGUGAGGAAGGC